GGAGAGAUGCCAGAGCGGUCGAAUGGGGCAGUCUCGAAAACUGUUGUCCGGUUUACCGGACCCUGGGUUCGAAUCCCAGUCUCUCCGCCA
rnacentral:tRNA from 1 species